rnacentral:lncRNA from 1 species
AAUUGUAUAAUUGAAAAGGAAAAUGCGUGCACAGGCUACCAUGGUGAGCGAGUUUUUUUGCGCCAUUUCAUUUUCAGUAAAUAUUGAUUACACAUGCAUUUGUCUCUGCCUGUAAAUUGUCCUCCUAAAAGGUAGGCUAUAUCCUAUAUGCACUAUGUAGCUCAUGAGAAAGUGCAAGUGCCCGCUGUCAUUAUUAUUGCUGCUUCAUUCUUGCUGCUUCAAGUUCAGUAGCCAUACUGUACUUGAGAGAUCUGGGGCCUCAUUUAUAAAAAUGUUCUUAGAUUUAUACUUGAACUUAGUCGUAAGAUAAUUUCCAACGGUGUGCUUACGUUCGAUUCAUAAAAGAUACCAAACAUAAAAAAUCUUGCUUACGCAGAUUCUAAGAAGCCCAUUUUUAAUUUACGCACCUGUGAUCUAUAAAUCUCAAAUUAAUUUUAAAUUGACGGCACCUGGAUGUGCCUUACAAUCAGCGAUUUCCUAUUAUAGAAUGCUAGCACAAAUUAGGGUUUAGUCAGGAAUAGCCAUGGUCCAAAAGAGAAAAGCAAACUUUUUGGAAGACGAGAUCACGGCGAUGGUAGAAGAGAUUGAAGACCGGCAACACAUAUUAUUUGGUGGACUAAAUAGUGGGUUGACAAACAAAGCCAAACAGGUAGCUUGGGAGUGUGUCGCCGCUGCAGUGAACGAGGUGGGGCAGCAAGACAGAACUGUGGCUGAUGUGAAAAAGAAAUGGUCUGACCUUAAUUAAACUGCAAAGGAAAAACAAUAGCCAUACAUAACCUCAGCAUUAAGGCAACGGGAGGGCGGCCUGGCACGCCGGAGCUCCCCCAAAUGGACAAGCGCAUCGGGGCAAUCCUUGGGGAAAGCGCAUACAGUGGCACAUGCUUCGACGUCACACAGAAAUGGGGGAAGCUGCGUUGAAGCUGCGUUGUAGCCAGUGCGCCCUCCACCCAGGGAUAAAGUGCGUGAGCCUCGCAAAUCAGCAGGUGCCAGGAGUGAGGGGAAAGGUUUGGCCACAGGUGUCGAGUGUCCGUCUGCGUCCGUGCUCCGGAAUGAAGUCCGUGAGGCCCCGGUUCCCAAGCGUCGCAGGUGCCAGGAGUAAGGGGGAAUGUUUGGUCACAGGUGUCGAGGGCCCGUCUGCGUCUACAGUUCGCGUGUUGACCACCUCAGUCCUGUAAACCCAGAACGAGUUGAGCACAUUGGUUGGGCAGAUUGUGACUGACCUCUGAAGAAUACCCAGGGUUUUUAUUCAUUCUCAUAAUGCAAUUGUUUAACGUUUUCCACAACAUGAAUAUAAAAACCCAUGCUUUGUAUAUUGUCUGGCUUUCUGUUUCUGUAACGGUGGUCGUAUGAAGUAGACCAAGGCGCAGCGGGUUGAGUGCUCAUAUUUACUUUUAUUGAAC